UUUUUUUUUUUUUUGAGAUGGGUUCUGCCUAUAGUAAAGAGGUUUGUUUUGAACUCCUAGGCUCAAGUGACCCUUCUGUCUCAGAUUCUCAAGUGUUGAGACUAUAGGUUUAUGUAACUUUAUUGGGCUUAGCUUAGUUUAAAAAAUGCUAAUAUUGAUACAAAAAUGUUUAAAACAAAACAAUGUCUGAGGCAAAUAAAAUAUAUUUUCAGGUUAUACCAGUCCUGUGGGUCACCAGUUUUGACCUCUGUACUAGUUGAGAGGAAGCAGCAUGUUAUAAUAUCUUGAACAGAACGUCCACAUUGCCUGUGUUACCAUCUAAGUUUAACAAUUUACCAGCUCUAUAAUCUCAGAUAAAUUACAUAAUCAGUUCAUUCCUCUCAACUAGGCAUAAGAAACCUUAAGCUUUCUAGCAGCUUUCAGUAUGGCAUGACUAAGAACCUAUAGAAAGCUAAUUAUAUGCAUUGAUUUUUUUUUCUGAAGGGGGGAGUGGGAUGUGAGACAGGGUUUUAUGUAGCCUGGCUUCAGCCUUUCUAUGUAGUUGAGAAUGGCCUUUGACUCCGGAUCCUAGUGGGACAACAAAUGUGUACAACCAUACCUGAUACUUGGUCUUACCUCAGUUUGUUGACUCACUUUACAUAUCUGGAUAGUGGGGGUAAUAAUGGUACCUACCUUAUAGAGCUCUGAGGAUUAGUGAGGUGAUACAUAUAGACUGCUAAUAAAAUUGCAGUAGUGAGGACACUUUUUUCUAGCACAAAAUAAGCACUAUAUAAGGAUUAACUAUCAUCAUUACUGAUUUUUAACAUGAUUUCGUGUUGAACUCAUGUAUGUUAGUAGUAAAGGACUUGAAAAGAAGGCUUGAUAGUAUUUACAAUGUAGCAUUGUUCCUGGAAGUGAUGUACAUACCAUCACAAUGGAGCUGAACUUUUGAUCCCUUAGUUAAUCAUUCAAAAAAGACAAAGUGGUAAGGUCUGAGAACAGGAAAAUUUUCCCGUCAAGGGAAUGCACCUUAUAGCAGACAGAGAAGAAGAGCAGGAGAACAGCCCAAAUGCCUACCCAUGAAGGCAACAAACCAAACUUAUUGCUAAAAGCCUCUUCUGUAUUUCCCAUAACGUCCUUAAGAAGAAGGCCAGGAAAAAAAAAAGCCACAUCUUGAUCUAUAGAGUUGACUAGAAGGAAUUCUUAUAUCGGAAAAACACACUUACUUUACUUGACCCAAAUUUGUGUAGGGAUAGAGUAUAGUAUUUUUUCAAAUACGUAAGAGAAAGGGGUUAUAAGUGUAGUUGGUUCCUGGGACUGAAAAGUAGCACUCAAGCAGUAAUAUUUGAGGUGAGAGUUAUGAUAUGAGGAAAUAAAUGAAGCAUAGGAAGGCAGCUUUGAGGGGAUGUUUGAUGAACUCCACUUUGAAUGAACAGGGAGACUGCAGGCCACAAGUAUAAGGGGCUGGUAAUAGGACUUCAGUAUUGAAGUGAUAAUAGGUCUUAAUAGGAUCUCACAUGAAAAGAUAUGGGGAUUCUUCAAUGGACCAUGAGAAAUUUCUGUUGAGAGGAGACAGUGUAUGUCAUGAAAACUAAUUUGAGUUUAUGAGAAUGUUAGAAGGCCAUAUGUAAUAGAGAGAGGACUGGAAACAUAUGAAAAUCUAAGUGUAUGUGGGUAAAUACAAGAAAAAGAUCUUGUUUUUUGUGCUGUGAAAGACUGGAGAAUUCUGAGUUUGAAAGCACAAGGUACAUGAUAGGAACCAGGUUGUAAAUAAGGAGAGACUAGAGUAAUCCCUGGUGUGGUAGGACAGGGCAUAAGGAAAGUCCAGCAUCACUAAAGGGGUGGUCUAGGAAGAGAAAACAACAAAAGUAUAUUCCCAUGAGAAAGGGCCAAAGGGACAAACUUCAGUAAGAAAGAACUGGAUUUCCCAGGCUUGAGAAAGCAGGGGGCAAGUGCAUUCUGAGAGGAAACAAUGACAAGCACCAGGGACUGAUAGUGUCAGAAUGUGGGGACAGUGGGAAAACACUGGAGGGGGUGAAGAAUGUUUCUCAGUAAAGAUAGUUAAAGAUUAAACAAGUAGUGGCUCUUCCGUGGGAUAUGGUAAAGAUUGUGGGGACUCUUGUAAGUGUAAAGAAAACAUUUGAGUAUGCAUUUAUUGUGGAUGGGACUGUCAGAAAAUAACAUAGGCCUUCUAAUGAGAAGUUGAAUGCUUUACAAAGUGGAAGGGAAGAGGCUGUACCCAGUGUGGUACAGUGCAGAGCUCUAAUAUGAGAAGAGAGUGUUGUAUAGAACCCCCACACCACAAAAGGAGCUCUGAAAAUGAGGGAAGCGCACAGGAAAAGAAGGGGGGAAACCUUAUUACCAUUGUGUGAAAUGUGAGGUAGAACACACAGACUGAGGAGUCAUAAGAAGGCAAACAUAUGAAGCACUCCUCUCUCUCUCUCUCUCUCUCUCUCUCUCUCUCUCUCUCUCUCUCUCUGUGUGUGUGUGUGUGUGUGUGUGUGUGUGUGUGUGUGGUGUGUAUGUUGCAUGUGUGCACACAUGUGCGUGCUCUCUUGGAUCUCAGAGAAAGAAUGGACGGAGGGCUUAGCCCUGUGUAAAAAGUGAGAACAGAAUGUUCUGAUGUGAGAGGUUCAGAAGUGGGUGGGGAGGAGAUGUGAAACCUCUCAGCUUGUGUUUGAAGAUUGCAGAGAGAAGGUAUGGAUCUCAAAGUGGAGAAAAGGUGCAAUGUGAACAGCCACCUCAAGCUUCUGUCACUGUGUCUUCCCUACCGUAAUGGACCGUACCCUCAAAUGGGAACUCUGUUCCUGCGGGAACUACAGGAAAUUGAAAAUGCAAUGCAGUAUGAUAUGUGUUAUCAGAAAAGUGGAAUGUUUACACUGGCUUUACUGGAAACUCAUAAAAGAGACACCUGACCAGGAUUUUUGUUUCAAUGCAGGCUUCUUGAAGGAAGUGACAUUCAAUCUAAAAAACUAAAGCUUGAAUAAUUACUGUACAGGCAGCAGAAGAGAGAGGAUGUUCUUUCCAGUGUGGUUUGGCAUGUGCAAAGGUUAUAGAAAUAGGCUUGCAAAGUUCGAGAAAAUGUCUGGAUUUUUGUAAUAUUUAUCAAGAGUAAAGAAAAUUGUUCAAGAGGCCUUGGGAGCCACAAUAGCAGAGACAAAAUUUAAUAGAGAAUUUAAUUAAUCUAGAUUAACUAAUGCUGUGAGAUGUGUAAGAUUUGAGCUUGGACCAAAAGAUACAGGUAAGAUCUAUCUAGUGUGGAAUCUGGCAAAACAAAACCAAAAUCAAACCAACAACAAUAAAACAUUAACCAUAGGGCAAAAAUGUGAGGAUAUCUGGGGGUGUGCUAGUGGUGCUACUGUUUUCUGAAAAACAUUGAAUACUUAUCAAAGGAAGUUCAGUAUAUUAAUUAGCACAAGAAAGUUUCUCAAUUAAAAAUCAUGCUUGUGGCACACUGCUGAAUGAUUUAACUUCCUAUAGGGGAAAAUCAUUGCGAAAGUAAGGGAAAGAUUUGAUGGGCUUGGAAGAGAUUGGUAGUCAGUUACUCACCAUGGCAGUAGUAAAAGAUGUUCAACAUCCUUGGUCAUCAGGGAAAUGCAAAUCAAAACAACCUUGAGAUUCCAUCUCACAC